CACGAUUUUCUUGGGUCUUCUAAAAGUUUCCUAUACAAUUAUCAUUAAGUCUGAGUUGUGUUACGAGUGGAUUUAUCCUGACAAUCGGCUCCAAAAC